rnacentral:rRNA from 1 species
AGCAGCCGCGGUAAUUCCAGCUCCAAUAGCGUAUAUUAAAGUUGUUGCAGUUAAAAAGCUCGUAGUUGAAUUUCGGGAUCAAUAUAUCGGUCAUGCUUAGGUAUGUACUGGUAUUAUUGAUUUCUCCCUUCUGAAGAACCAUGAUGUCAUUAAUUUGAUGUCGUGGGGAACCAGGACUGUUACUUUGAAAAAAU